rnacentral:rRNA from 1 species
GUGGGGAAUUUUGCGCAAUGGGCGAAAGCCUGACGCAGCAACGCCGCGUGUGUGAUGAAGGUCUUUGGAUUGUAAAGCACUUUCGACCGGGACGAAAACCCCUGGGCUAAUACUCCAGGGCUUGACGGUACCGGGAGAAGAAGCACCGGCUAACUCUGUGCCAGCAGCCGCGGUAAUACAGAGGGUGCAAGCGUUGUUCGGAAUUAUUGGGCGUAAAGCGCGUGUAGGCGGCCUUGCAAGUCGGAUGUGAAAGCCCUCGGCUCAACCGAGGAAGUGCGUUCGAAACUGCAGGGCUUGAGUGCCGGAGAGGGUGGCGGAAUUCCCCAAGUAGAGGUGAAAUUCGUAGAUAUGGGGAGGAACACCGGUGGCGAAGGCGGCCACCUGGACGGUGACUGACGCUGAGACGCGAAAGCGUGGGUAGCAAACAGG